CUACAUGGCAAGGAACUGAGGUGGGAGGCCUCUGGUUAAUAGCUGGUGAGAGACUGAGCACCUCAGUCCAACAGCUAGCUCAUGAGGAAUGGAAUCUUGGAACAACCAGAUCUGGGGCUGAGGAACCUGUUGUUGCUUGCAGUGAUGCCCCGUCACUUCCUCAAUGACUCAGCAGUACUGCACAGCAUGAGAAAAGUUGAAGAAAUUCAAGAGUUCUCAAAUACUCCUGAUCUCCCCUAUAAAUAGCAUCUUAC